ACCUCGGUAGUGUAGUGGUAACACGCACCCUCAGCCAGGAUGAAACGGGUUCGACAUCCGUCUGAGGUC